UUAAGUAAGUCCAGUGCGCCAAUCAGUCAGAUAUUUGGUCAGCUUGAUAAUUCAUUAUUGUAGAUACCUUUUUUUUUAAAAUAAAGUCAAAACAUCACAACUUGAUAACCUUCUUUUUUAAACCUGUUCUUUUAAUAAGGACCGAUAAUUUAAAUUCCGCUCAUUCUAUUGUUUUUCAGCGAUACGAUACCAUGGUGGGGCACCUUCGCUUGUUAUUCUGUGUGAUACUUACAAUAUUCUUAAUGACCCAACAAGGGGCAUCCGAACUGUGCUGGAAAGACGAGGACUGUGAUUUAAAAUGCACCCAGGGUGACGAGGCGUACUGCAUGUGGAUUCAGUGCACCUGUGACACUGCUGGAAAAUGAUUCACCAAUUCGUUCAUUUUAAACCCACACAAUUUAAUUGAAGUUUAUGUAUACAAUUACAAUUACAAAGUUGGAUAAAAAAAUUACUUUUGAA